rnacentral:misc_RNA from 1 species
GCGGUGACAACGAACUGAUCGAGAUCGGCGAAGGCUCCAAUGUGCAGGACAACUGCACUUUUCACACCGAUCCCGGAUUUCCGCUGACCAUCGGCAGGGANNNNNNNNNGCCACAACGUCAUCCUGCACGGCUGCACCAUCGAGGAUGGCGCGCUGAUCGGCAUGGGCGCGAUCAUCAUGAACGGUGCGCGGAUCGGCAAGGGCUGCAUCGUGGGCGCGGGGUCUGUGAUUAC